GUCCCUAUCUGCCGUGGGCGUUGGAAGUUUGAGGGGGGCUGCUCCUAGUACGAGAGGACCGGAGUGGACAGAUCUCUGGUGGACCGGUUGUCAUGCCAAUGGCAUAGCCGGGUAGCUAAAUCUGGAAGAGAUAAGCGCUGAAAGCAUCUAAGCGCGAAACUCGCCUCGAGAUGAUACUUCCCUGUGCUUUAAGCACACUAAAGAGUCGUUCAAGACCAGGACGUUGAUAGGUCGGGUGUGGAAGCGUAGUAAUACGUUAAGCUAACCGAUACUAAUUGCUCGUGAGGCUUGAUCCUAUAACCUUA
rnacentral:rRNA from 1 species